AUGGCUGGGAGCUUCGACGGGAGGGUACCAACCAGGGGCGUUGAGCAGGCCAUUGUUGCUCUCAAGAAGGGCGCGCAUCUCCUCAAGUGUGGCAAGAGAGGGAAGCCCAAGUUCUGCCCUUUCAGGCUGUCUUCUCUCAAACUGUCUCAAGUACACAGAUCUGUCACUGUCAUGGGGAUUUUCCUGAGUUUCGCAGGCAACAAAGAUGAGAAGACACUGGUGUGGUACUCGAAAGACAGGGAGAAACACCUGAGCUUAAAUUCUGUUUCAACUGUAAUCCUUGGCCAGAAGACUACAAACUUUUGUCGUCAGCGUUGGCCUGAGAAAGAACAUCAAUCCUUGUCACUCGUAUACAGAAAUGGCGAGUGCUCACUCGACUUGAUCUGCAGAGACAGAGAUCAAGCUGAGUGCUGGCAUCUUGGCCUGACAGCCUUAAUAUCGGGUCCUUCUAGUCCAUUUUCAUCAGUUGGGUCAAAGAGCAGCAGGCAGAUGACCAGUUGCACAAGUACUCCCCGCAGCUAUAUCCAGCGAAAGAGCAAGCUAUCAGCUGUGCACGACACACCCAGGCACAAGCAGGUAUAUCCAUCUUAUGGGAGUCCUAGGAUGACACAGAAAGAUUUAUUUGGUGGUUACCUUGAUUGCUCGGAAGCAUUAUUUUACCAAAGACAGCGAACAUUUUCUGAUGUAGACUCUUACCUGGAGAGGCUUAGUCCCAAGGUGGCAAAUCCAGUUAGACAUAGUUUGAAGGACAUUUUGGUUGCUAACAACAAACAUAAGACACAGACCAUUAGUCGAACACCUAAAGUGAAAGCAUUUGAAGGGCCCCGUGCAGCAUGCAGACUGGAUUCUCUGAAGGAUGUUUUUCUCUGGGGUGAUGUUGUUGGCAGUGCAUUAGACAGUGAAGAUAUUCCAAAGGCACUUCCGAGGUUAGUGGGAUCAACCAAAAUGCUCGAUGUACAGAGCAUUGCUUGCGGGGAGAAUCAUGCAGCCAUAAUAACCAAGCAAGGGGAGGUCUUCUCCUGGGGCAAGGAGAGUGGCAGGAAACUGGGACACAAGGUAAAUGACAGCGCCCAGUGUCCUAAAAUGGUCGAGUCCCUUGCCUCUGUACAUGUGAAGGCUGUUGCAUUUGGUUCAAAGCACACCUGUGCAGUCACAGUUUCUGGCGAACUUUUUGAAUGGGGUGAAGGAGCUCAUGGCUUGGGUCUGUUGAAUAACUGGCAUGGAAGGAACCAAUGGUUACCCCAUAAACUGUUUGGCCCUAUGGACAACAUUUCUGUGUCGAAAAUUGCCUGUGGCGACUGGCACACAGCUAUUAUAACAUCUUCUGGUCAGCUAUUCACAUAUGGGGAUGGAACAUUUGGUGUUCUUGGUCAUGGGGAUAGACAAGGAAUUGCUAGGCCAAAAGAAGUAGAGUCCUUGAAAGGGUUACGGGUGAAAUCCGUGGCAUGCGGGCCAUGGCACACAGCUGCCAUUGUUGAAGGAAUGAGCAGUGUCAAGUGCAACGCUCCAAUUGGCAACCUGUUCACAUGGGGAGAUGCAGAUAAAGGGAAGCUGGGUCAUGCUGACAAGAAGAUGAAGCUUGUACCAACAUGCGUCGAUUCACUCAUCAGUCAUGAUUUUCUUCAGGUAUCCUGCGGGAUGGCUCUGACUGUCGCGCUUACUUCUAAUGGGGUGGUAUUUACCAUCGGAAGUUCCAAACAUGGGCAACUAGGGAACCCACAGGCAGAUGGUGAAUCUGUUUGCACUGUUGGAGGAGUACUUAAGAAUGAGUUUGUGACAGAGAUAUCAUCUGGUUCUUCCCACGUAGCCGUGCUGACUAUGAACGGAAAGGUUUUCACCUGGGGUAAAGGUGCGGACGGACAACUUGGUUUAGGUGACUAUGCCAAUAGGAGCUCUCCUACUUUAGUAGAGGCAUUAGAAGGUAGACAAGUUCAGAGUAUAGCUUGUGGCUCCAAUUUUAGUGCUGCAAUCUGUUUGCACAAGGGUAUCUCAGUGAAGGACCAACCCAUAUGCAGCAGAUGUCAGAUGGUUUUUAAUUUUACUAGAAAGAAACACAACUGUUACAACUGUGGUUCCAUGUUCUGCAACUCUUGCAGUAGUAACAAGACCGCAAACUCAGCACUUGCGCCAGACAGGAACAGAAGGUAUCGUGUCUGCGAUGCGUGUUUCUGUCAACUAGAGAAAGCCUUGUACUCUGGCGAAGUCAAGCCACAGCCAAAGAUCAGCAAAGGAGAAAUGUUUAAAGCAGAAAUAAUGGCAUACACACCUAAGUUGUCACGUUUGUUCAAGGAAGCAAACCUCAUUGUUGAAAAGAUGGCUUCAGUACAAGGUCCCAAUCAAAGAAAUGUGGACUCUGCCGUUCCGAUACAAGUGAAAACUCAAAGAUGGGGGCAAGUUGAGUGUCCCGCCCAAUUUUUAUCUGCACAAGACAAUUUCAGACAUCAGCUGGUGCCAGAUAAUCAGAUGUCUGGUGUCUCUUUUUCCCAAAGAAUGCAUGAUGCUGUAGGGUUGAAGGCUGGAAACCCUUUGCGGCAGUCUACUGACAGCCAGAGAGAUGAACUGAGUAUGAUGGAAAGAAUACUCACGGAGGAAGUAAAGCAGCUGCGAUCACAAGUCACGACUCUUGCAGAGCAAUGCCAGCAGAAAAAUCUUGUAGUCCAAGUGUACAAACAAAGACUUGAUGAAACAUGGCUAAUUGUUAGGGAUGAGGCUGCAAAGUGUAAAGCUGCCAAAGAUAUCAUAAAGGUUCUGACUAAUCAGUGCAAUGCCUUGUCAGCGAAACUUUCAGUUGGCCAGCAACCAGAGAACUCAAAGAUGACACCUAAUAGCAUCCCGGAACAAGCACCGUCACCAGGUGCCACAGAUAGAUCAUUCAGUCAUCAAAAUAUCGCCAGAACAUUCGACCGUGAUGGCUACACCACCGAAGCAGACUCCGUGGACACUCCUGUUGAGGGUGUUAUAGAGCAGAUUGAGCGAGGGGUGUAUGUCACACUUGCCGUAUCCCCUGGUGGAAGGAAAGACAUAAGGCGGAUAAGAUUCAGUCGGAAGCAUUUUGGCGAGAAGGCAGCUCAGUGCUGGUGGGAAGAGAACAAGAGCAGGGUAUAUGCAAAUUAUAGCAGCGUUGAGCAAGUGGCAACACCACACCCGAACCGCGCUUAA
rnacentral:rRNA from 1 species